rnacentral:rRNA from 1 species
AACGGCCGUACCAUGCUGAAUAUACCGGUUCUCGUUAGAUCACCGAAGUCAAGCAUCAUUGGGCGCGGUCAGUACUUGGGUGGGUGGCCACCUGGGAACACUGCGUGCUGUU